CCGGAUAGGCAAUUUUUCCUGGAAUGGUUUUUUGUUUAAAUGUUUUUUCGCCUAAGGAUGGGUCUGCGGCCGAUUAGGUAGUUGGUUAGGUAAUGGCUUACCAAGCCGUUGAUCGGUACGGGUUGUGAGAGCAAGAGCCCGGAGAUGGAACCUGAGACAAGGUUCCAGGCCCUACGGGGUGCAGCAGGCGCGAAACCUCCGCAAUGUGAGAAAUCGCGACGGGGGGAUCCCAAGUGCCAUUCUUAACGGGAUGGCUUUUCAUUAGUGUAAAGAGCUUUUGGAAUAAGAGCUGGGCAAGACCGGUGCCAGCCGCCGCGGUAACACCGGCAGCUCUAGUGGUAACAAUUUUUAUUGGGCCUAAAGCGUCCGUAGCCGGUUUAAUAAGUCUCUGGUGAAAUCCUGUAGCUUAACUGUGGGAAUUGCUGGAGAUACUAUUAGACUUGAGACCGGGAGAGGUUAGAGGUACUCCCAGGGUAGAGGUGAAAUUCUGUAAUCCUGGGAGGACCGCCUGUUGCGAAGGCGUCUAACUGGAACGGUUCUGACGGUGAGGGACGAAAGUUAGGGGCGCGAACCGGAUUAGAUACCCGGGUAGUCCUAACUGUAAACGAUGCGGACUUGGUGUUGGGGUGGCUUUGAGCUGCUCCAGUGCCGAAGGGAAGCUGUUAAGUCCGCCGCCUGGGAAGUACGGUCGCAAGACUGAAACUUAA
rnacentral:rRNA from 1 species